UGGGGAAUAUUGCACAAUGGGCGAAAGCCUGAUGCAGCGACGCCGCGUGAGGGAUGACGGCCUUCGGGUUGUAAACCUCUUUCAGUAGGGACGAAGCGCAAGUGACGGUACCUGCAGAAGAAGCACCGGCUAACUACGUGCCAGCAGCCGCGGUAAUACGUAGGGUGCGAGCGUUGUCCGGAAUUACUGGGCGUAAAGAGCUCGUAGGCGGUUUGUCACGUCGUCUGUGAAAUCCUAGGGCUUAACCCUGGACGUGCAGGCGAUACGGGCUGACUUGAGUACUACAGGGGAGACUGGAAUUUCUGGUGUAGCGGUGGAAUGCACAGAUAUCAGGAAGGACACCGGUGGCGAAGGCAGGUCUCUGGGUAGUAACUGACGCUGAGGAGCGAAAGCAUGGGUAGCGAACAGG
rnacentral:rRNA from 1 species